AUUGAACGCUGGCGGCAUGCUUAACACAUGCAAGUCGAACGGCAGCACAGUGUGUAGCAAUACACAUGGGUGGCGAGUGGCGGACGGGUGAGUAACGCGUAGGAAUCUGCCUUGAAGCGGGGGACAACCCGAGGAAACUCGGGCUAAUACCGCAUAAUAUCGUGAGAUUAAAGCUGGGGCAACCUGGCACUUAAAGAGGAGCCUGCGUCCGAUUAGCUAGUUGGUAGGGUAAAAGCCUACUAAGGCGAUGAUCGGUAGCUGGUCUGAGAGGAUAAUAGGCCACACUGUGACGGGGACACGGCGCGGACGGCUACGGGAGGCAGCAGUGGGGAAUAGUGGACAAUGGGGGCAACCCUGAUCCAGCAAUGCCGCGUGUGUGAAGAUGGCCUUCGGGUUGUAGAGCACUUUUGGCAGGGAGGAAGGUGUAGAGUUUAAGAGACACUACAUUUGACGGUACCUGCAGAAUAAGCACCGUCUAACUCUGUGCCAGCGGCCGCCGUAA
rnacentral:rRNA from 1 species